rnacentral:rRNA from 1 species
UACGGGGGGAGCAAGCGUUGUUCGGAUUUACUGGGCGUAAAGGGCGCGUAGGCGGCGCAACAAGUCACUUGUGAAAUCUCCGGGCUUAACCCGGAGCGGCCAAGUGAUACUGUCGUGCUAGAGUGCGGAAGGGGCUACUGGAAUUCUCGGUGUAGCGGUGAAAUGCGUAGAUAUCGAGAGGAACACCAAUGGCGAAGGCAGCUCGCUGGGACGUUACUGACGCUGAGACGCGAAAGCGUGGGGAGCAAACAGG